rnacentral:rRNA from 1 species
GUGGGGAAUAUUGGGCAAUGGGCGAAAGCCUGACCCAGCGACGCCGCGUGAGGGAAGAAGGUCUUCGGAUUGUAAACCUCUGUUGACAGGGACGAAGGAAGUGACGGUACCUGUUGAGGAAGCCACGGCUAACUACGUGCCAGCAGCCGCGGUAAUACGUAGGUGGCAAGCGUUAUCCGGAAUUACUGGGUGUAAAGGGUGAGUAGGCGGGGAAGCAAGUCAGAUGUGAAAUGCAAAGGCUUAACCUUUGAAUUGCAUUUGAAACUGUUUCUCUUGAGGGUCGGAGAGGUAAUCGGAAUUCCUAGUGUAGCGGUGAAAUGCGUAGAUAUUAGGAGGAACACCAGUGGCGAAGGCGGAUUACUGGACGACUACUGACGCUGAAUCACGAAAGCGUGGGGAGCAAACAGGAUUAGAAACCCUAGUAGUCC